rnacentral:lncRNA from 1 species
CCAGGGUGCUAGCUCUCUUGUAAAGAUCUCCUCUUGAUGGCUGAUCUGGAUUCCUCUCAGAUCUCAUAGACACUUUAGAGAACUAAGAAGAACUAGGAGGAAGAAGAAGAGGAAGGAGGCUUAGGUUUUGAGCAAAAUUUUUGCUCUCAAAAUUUUCUUUUUCUCAUAUCAUAGGCAUCCAAUUUGUGGAGCCUAUUUAUAAGUGGGAAGAGAUUAGGGUUUCCUUGAGAUGCCACAACCUAUCGCAUGCCAAACAUUGGAGCGU